rnacentral:rRNA from 1 species
AUUGAACGCUGGCGGCAGGCUUAACACAUGCAAGUCGAGCGAGCGGCGGACUGGUGAGUAAUGUCUGGGAAACUGCCUGAUGGAGGGGGAUAACUACUGGAAACGGUAGCUAAUACCGCAUACCAUCAGAUCUGCUCAGAUGGGAUUAGGUAGUAGGGGGGGUAAUGGCUGACCAAGGCGACGAUCCCUAGCUGGGCUGAGAGGAUGACCGGCCACACUGGAACUGAGACACGGCCCAGACUCCUACGGGAGGCAGCAGUGGGGAAUCUUGCGCAAUGGGCGAAAGCCUGAUGCAGCCAUGCCGCGUGUGUGAAGAAGGCUUUCGGGUUGUAAAACACUUUCAUCGGGGAAGCGGUACUCGCAGAGGAAGCACCGGCUAACUCCGUGCCAGCAGCCGCGGUAAUUC